GAUGAACGCUGGCGGCGUGCUUAACACAUGCAAGUCGAACGGAAAGGCCAGUGCUUGCACUGGUACUCGAGUGGCGAACGGGUGAGUAACACGUGGGUGAUCUGCCCUGCACUUCGGGAUAAGCCUGGGAAACUGGGUCUAAUACCGGAUAGGACAAUGGUUUGGAUGCCGUUGUGGAAAGUUUUUUCGGUGUGGGAUGAGCUCGCGGCCUAUCAGCUUGUUGGUGGGGUAAUGGCCUACCAAGGCGUCGACGGGUAGCCGGCCUGAGAGGGUGUACGGCGACAUUGGGACUGAGAUACGGCCCAGACUCCUACGGGAGGCAGCAGUGGGGAAUAUUGCACAAUGGGCGCAAGCCUGAUGCAGCGACGCCGCGUGGGGGAUGACGGCCUUCGGGUUGUAAACUCCUUUCGCUAGGGACGAAGCGUAUUUGUGACGGUACCUGGAGAAGAAGCACCGGCUAACUACGUG
rnacentral:rRNA from 1 species